GACAUCCUGUGUGUACACAAGGAGAAACCGGAGUAGGAGGCGAGCCGUGAGCAAACAAGGCCAAUCUGUAUUUGAUAACAGGCAUCGCUUAGAAACAACUGCUAGGCUCAGUCGUCUACAAACACAGUGAUUGCUCCAUAUUAAAGCCAUUGCUGCCAGACAGAGCUGGCAUUGAAUCCAUGUGGAGCCUCCGUGUGGGAGGAUGCACACCAGCUCUAUAUUGGACACAGGGGAGGAAAAGGUGAGAUUCUUCUUCUUUCCUGUGUCUACCAAAUCCUUCGCUUUAGUUGCCUAGGAAGCUUACUUUAGCUGAGGUAGAUUUUUAAGUCUUUUAAUAAAAAAAAAAUUAUGUGUAUAAAUAUACCACGUGUAUGCCUAGGGUCCAAGGAGGCCCAAAGAGGCAGUCAGAUCCCCUGGAACUGGGGUUACAGAAAGUUGUGAACCAACAUAUCCGUGCUGGGAACAGAACUCAGGUCCUCUCCAAGAUGGCUGAGCCAUCUCUCCAGCUCCAGUUAAAGGAGGUUUGUAGGGUAGUGGGGAACUUAAACAGGGUACUGCCAGGCUGUUAACCGGAAGGGAAUUGUCCCUCUCUAUGCAGGAUUUUGGGUUUUGUUUGUCUAUUUUUGUCUGUCUGUCUUUCCAGAGACAAGGUCUUACUAUGUAGUCUGGAACUCACUAUGUGAACAAAGCUAAGUUUGAACUCCCAGAACACUGCCUGCCUGCCUGCCUGCCCGCCCGCCUGCCCGCUGGGUUUUAAAUCAGAGGAGGUGCCACCCUGGGAGCACACCCUUUCCUUGGUUGCUGUUUGAGACUGGGACCCAGGUUCUAACCCUUCGCCAGAGCCAAUCUCCUAGCUUCUUCUCCUAGGGCCUGGCAGUGCAGUGCUGAGCUGGACACAUGGCCGGCUGAGACUCCACUCUGCUUGUCAGCAAUGCAGUUUCCCUGUGAGAGCAUUCCCAAGGUCUUUCACAUCCAUUAUCACUGCAAACCCAUGUUGUUGGCAGCCCUGUUGUUUUGUUCCCUCUUAUGAACAAGCAGGACACAGCCACUCAAGGUCAACAGCUAAGUUGGUGGCUGAUGCAACCCUCUGUCACGCCUCUGUGCUUUUGAAUGAGCUGUUUCUGACUCCAGGAUGUCAGCCUUCCUCCACCGGGCAGGUUCCUUCUGGACCUACACUACCUCUCCUCCUUCCUCCUCGGACUGAGUAUCAAGCCAGCUCAGCGAUUGGCCUCCUCGUGAAGCUUCCCUCUAGUCCCUCUUGGCUCCUGUUCCCUGAAAGGAGUUGCCUGCAGCACACUAUGGAACUAUAGCAGGAGGUCGUGAACUACUCGAAUUAACUCCCUGGAGUUAUCUCUUGCCGGGAAGGAAGGACUCGGGCAGGGUUUUCAGAGGGAAGUCUGGGAAUUUCUGUUGAUGUAUGUGAAUACAUUAUUUUGCUAAGCAAUGCCACGAGGUAAGAGCUAUUGGUUUCUGUUGUUUAACACAUCUACUGUUUAAAUCAGUAUUUCAGGCUCUGAGGUACAGCAGGGAUGGAAAUGGAUAAGAAUCCUUCCCACUGGGUCAGUGGUCGGUAGUGUGCUUGCACAACGCUGCGUGUAUCGAACCCAGCAUGGCAUAAAAACUGUGCAUGGACUGGAGAGCUGGCUCAGCAGUUACGAGCACAGGCAGCUCUUCCAAAGGAUCCAGGUUUGAUUGCCAGCAUUCAUACCCACAGUUUAUGUUUACAACUGUCUGUAACUCCACUUGCAGGGGAUCCAGCGCCCUCUUCUGGCUUCCAAGGGCAUCAGGCACACAGAUGUACAGGCAAAACACACAUACACACACACAGGGAGAGAGAGAGAGAGAGAGAGAGAGAGAGAGAGAGAGAGAGACAGACAGACAGACAGAGAGACAGAGAGACAGAGAGAGACAGAGAGAGACAGAGAGAGAGACAGACAGACAGACAGACAUAGAUACAUAGAUGGCCAUGGUGGUAUGUAUCUGUAAUCCCAGUAUUUAAGAGGCAGAGAUAGAAGGAUGGUAAGGUCUCAGUCGUCCUUGGCUACACAGUUCUAUGCCAGCCUAGGCUAUAUAAAAUGUUUUCUCAAAAACAAAACAACAAAACACACAAUCAAACUCAGCGAUUAUAGAAAAAGGGUAAAAUAGGAGCAGGCGGCUUAUAAUACAGAAACGUGAAGCUGGUUUAACAUGGGAGCAUCAUGUGGGUGCUGGGAAGUGAACGCAGGUCCUCUGCAAAAGCAGUGCUCUUAACCAGUGAGCCAUCUCUCCAGCUCCCUCAGCCAAGUUUUAUUAAAAGCAAUGUGUGUGCGCAUCAGGACUAGCUGGUUUGGGCUAACACAGGGGGCCAGUAAUCUAGACAAAGAAAGAGAAGCUGGGGGUUGGGGAUUUAGCUCAGUGGUAGAGCGCUUGCCUAGCAAGCACAAGGCCCUGGGUUCGGUCCCCAGCUCCGAAAAAAAGAAAAGAAAAGAAAAAAAAAAGAAGAAAGAAAGAGAAGCUGGCUGGUCCUCAGCAUAGAAAACCAAACUAGCUCACCCUCCUUUGAAAGCUCCACUGAGGGGCUGGGGAUUUAGCUCAGUGGUAGAGCGCUUAGCUAGGAAGCGCAAGGCCCUGGGUUCGGUCCCCAGCUCUGAAAAAAAGAACCAAAAAAAAAAAAAAAAAAAAAAAAAAAAAGAAAGCUCCACUGAAAAGUUCCCCCUGGCAGCAAAAUGUGCAGCAAAUCCUUGUCUUCAAGGAAGCUAACCACCUUGAAUGUUUAAGCGGAAAGAGUAUUAAUCUACCUAGAGCAUCUCUUCCCUCCCUGCCUGCCUAUUUGUCUGACCUGUGGUCCUUCAUUCGGGAGGCGGAGGCUAGAAGAUCAGGAGUUCAAAGCCAGCCUGAGCUACAUGAGACCUUGUCCGGAACAAUCCUACAGCUGACAUCAUACUUAAUGGCAAAAAGUGGCUGCCUAUUCCCCAAGAUUAGCGGCAAAGGUGUGAGCUCCAACUCUUCUCCGUCGCUGUAUGAGUGGCCCCAGACUGCGCAAUAAGGUAAGAAAAUAAAUGAAAGGCCCAAAGGUUAUGGGCUAGGUGUGGGAUGAUGUCACAGGUGAGGCAGGUACAAGAUAGGAGGAGGCCUGUCACUGGACGAGAAGGAAGGAUGGGUGGGAGAAAAGUUUGAAGGAAGAGAAGGAGACUGGAACAGAAAGAAGGAGGGAGGGAGGGAGAGAGAGAGAGAGAGAGAGAGAGAGAGAGAGAGAGAGAGAGAAGCCGGUAGACAACAUGCAAGGUGACAUUAAGGUUCUGCUCUGUGUAUUUACAGGUUGCUGUUAAUGUUCUUAAGGGAUGGGUGUGAACAGGGCUCUGUAUGUUUAGGUGGGCAUAUAUUAUAUAUUUUCAAUUGGGUCAAAGGUUUUUGGGUUGUGUGUUCUUUCAUGUGUAGAUUUAAGUGUAAUGGAGUGUGUGGUGGCUGGUCUGGGCCACCACAGAGUUGGGAUGUGUGUUUCUGGCAUGGAAACCUGCCUUGAGAAUUACAUAGGUAGAGAGGUUGCUGCCAGACUCAGAGAGAAGCCUUCGGCAGUGUGAUAUGGGAUGGAGCAGAGCGGGUGAGACGCUUUGCUGACUGAGACUUAAGAUAUCCAGCAGAUAUCUUGGGGCACCGCGGUGCCAGACCUAGCGGGGAUAGAAGACGACCCUACUUUUUUUUUUUUUAUUUUUCAUAUUAUUACAACAGCAGCUAGGUUGCUGCCUUGACUCCAUCCCGAUUUAUUCCCAUCCUCUCCCAUCCUCAAAAGAGACUGAGCUCAGCCCUGGAUGGCACGUCUCUAUUAACUCCGCCACCACUGGGACCUGGGGAAGAGGAGGAUGGAGAGGUGGAAUGCUGUUUUCUGGAUGUGAUGUGAGCACUGCAGUCAGCUCACGGCAUCUGAGGUGACCCAUCUGCACAGUAUCAGACUAGCCAACGUCCCGGCACAGACAGCGGAGAUGACCUGCGAGCCCCACUCUUUCUUUCCUGAGGAGCUAUUGACCGUGAGUAGUUGCCAGGGGAGGAAGAAUUCACUUCUAAGGAUGUGGCCACUGGUAGGUUUUCCAUGCUCCACAGGAUGGCCUCACAUCUGUGCACAUACAGUCAGCAAUAACUGCGUGUGUGUGUGUGUGUGUGUGUGUGUGUGUGUGUGUGUGUGUGUGUGAGAGAGAGAGAGAGAGAGAGAGAGAGAGAGAGAGAGAGAGAGAGAGAGACAGCAGGUUGGAAAGGGGCAUGUUGAAGGAACACGGGAGCAGGGAAAUAGGGUAGAUAUGAUCCUAUUUCACUAUGCAGAUAUGUAUACACAUGUAAAUAUGCACACACACACAUGCAUGCACGCACGCAGGCACAUGAAUUUAUGGUGAUUGCCAGGAGAGUAUCACCUCUGGUAGGUGUCAAAACACCAGUCCACUGACUAAAGUUCUUAGGGUACUUGCUUCUGCAGCCCCUAGCCUGAUCCUCCUGUAAACAUCUCUUCCUUUCCAAUGGUCGAAAGGCCAUCUGGAGAUACUAAGUAAGUAAGUAGCAACCCCAGGGAGCUCUGCUGUCUCUUCCUCAACGUUGUCGGUCUCUUGGACAUUGACUUUCUGUGCGAUAGGCCUGAGUCUGCUAAUGUUUGUUUCAGCCACAGAUGAUGUAACUAUUAUGAAAUCCCAGGGAAUUUUCAUACCGACUAGGAACGAACUGGUAAAGUCAGCAAGGUCACAGGGAGUAAAGACAGUAUAUGAAAGAAACUUUUUUUUCCUUUCAAAUAAGUGGCUUAUGAAGCUUUACGAAAUUCCGUUUGGGGCCAACAAGAUGACUCAGCAGGUAAAGGCACUCGCCACAGAGUCUGAUGACCUGAGCUCAGUAUGCGGUGGGGGGACAGAGACAGUUCUGCAAACAGUCCUUUCACCUCCAAACGUGCCACACCACACAAAUGCCCACACACAUGCAAACAAACGGAGCUUUAAAAGGACCUCAUCUACAAUAGCAUUAAGAGGGAAAAGAUCGGAAAGCGAGAGAGAAACAGGUGUAAAAGAAUCCAUAGUUCUGUUUAUAUAACAGGAUGGGGGUGGGAGGACGGAUUCCUGCUAGGCAAGCGAGCGGCUGACUGCCUGGGGUGGGAUGGGAAAGGGAUGACUGAUGACUAGGUGUCUUAGUGUUGCUACUGCAGUGCUAACACACCAUGACCAAAAGCAACUUGGAGAGGAAAGAGCUUGCUCUCUUCACAUAUCUGUCCACAUAGCAGCUCUCAGUGGAAGCAGUCAAACAGAGCAGGAACUUAGAGGCAGGGGCUGAUGCAGAGGCCAUGGAGGAGUGCUGCUUACCGACCUGCUCCUCAGGGCUGCCCAGCCUCCUUUCUUACAGAACCCCAGACCACAGCCUAGGGGUGGAACUGCCCACAAUGGGCUACGCCCUGCCAUAUCUAUCAUUAGUUAAGAAGAUGCCCUACAGGCUUGCCUGCAACCCGAUCCAUUUUGUUUUGUUUUCUUGUCUUUGAGACAGCAUCUCUGUGUAGACCAAGCUGGCCUUGAACUCAGAGAGAUCUGUCUCUGGAGUGCUGGGAUUAAAAGUAAGCUCCCAGCCGCUACAAACCCAUUUUGGAGCCAUUUUUCUGAUUGAGGUUCCCUCCUGUCAGAUGACUCCAGUGUGUGUCACGUUGACAUAAAACUAUCCAGCGUAGUAGAAGCUGGAGGAAACUUCCGAGAGUCAAGGAAAUGCCCCGUAUACUGAUAUAUAGGCAUAGGAACCUAAUAAGAACACAAUUAACUGAAAGUUCCACUCUGAGGCUGGGCAUGGCGGUGCAAGCUUUCAACUCAGUGCUUGGGAGACAGAGGCAGGAUGACCAGAAGUUCAGAGUUAUCCUCUCUGCUCUAUAGUGAAUUCAUGGCCAACCUAGGACACAUAAGACCCUGUAUCCAAAGAAAAGAAAGUGUAAAUUUGCCAGAAAUGCUGGAUCAUGCCCAUAAUCUCAGCACUCAGGAAAGCAGAGGCAGGAGAGGAGGAUCAGGAGUUUGAGAUCAUGCUUGACUACAUGGCAAUUCUGAAGCUAUUCUGGAUCAUGUGAAACCAGUCCCGCCACACCCCCCCCCCCCCAGUCCCCUUUACAACAGAUACGUUUUAUUGUGUGUAUGUUGCAUCUCAGUGAAGUUGAUUAGAAAAAAAGCAAGGCCAACUACAUGUACCACUAGCCCAGGAGCCAGGUGUAGCUCAGUGGUAGAGUACAUGCUUAGUGUCCAUUGAGAAUAUGUUUGGUGGAUAUGCAGUCAGGUGUGGGGAAAGGGGUGCCAUGCUGAGGCCCUUCUCCCUGACUGUAUAGAAUAGAGUUUAUUCUGAGCAUCGGAAGGAGAGUUAAGGGGGUAGUAAAGACAGAGAAAGACAGAAAGAGCAGAGGAGUAGAGGCUGGCCAAGAGCAUGUGGAGAGAGACGGGGGAGGGGAAUGAGAGGACACAGUGAGAGCUAGAAGGAAGAGAGAGAGAGGAGGGGGCAAGCAGCCCCUUUUACAGUGAGUCGGGCUGUUGCCAGGUAACCCUGGGGCGGGGCCUAGACAAAAUGCUAACAGCCGCGAGGCCCUGGGUUCAGCCGCUACUACACCAGGCCGAGUUCUGCCGUUAGCAUAAAGAAGUAGAUAAAGUGGACCAAAUAUACCAUAUGUCAAGUUCAGAGCUGAUGAGGAGGAAAUCACCUUUGGAAUAACGUCAAGUUUGAGAGGCUUACACUUGUGUUCCAUACUAUGCUGAAUGGUGUGGAAAACUCCGUGGUCACGCAAAGGAGUGGCUGGCACCUCUGUGUCCACAGACUGGCCAGUGGAGCUGGGGACCGAACCCAGGGCCUUGCGCUUCCUAGGCAAGCGCUCUACCACUGAGCUAAAUCCCCAACCCCGCAAAUAAAUCUUUUAUAAAAAGGAA